rnacentral:rRNA from 1 species
CCUACGGGAGGCAGCAGUGAGGAAUAUUGGUCAAUGGACGAGAGUCUGAACCAGCCAAGUAGCGUGAAGGAUUACUGCCCUAUGGGUUGUAAACUUCUUUUAUAUGGGAAUAAAAUGUUCCACGUGUGGGAUUUUGUAUGUACCAUAUGAAUAAGGAUCGGCUAACUCCGUGCCAGCAGCCGCGGUAAUACGGAGGAUCCGAGCGUUAUCCGGAUUUAUUGGGUUUAAAGGGAGCGUAGGUGGAUUGUUAAGUCAGUUGUGAAAGUUUGCGGCUCAACCGUAAAAUUGCAGUUGAAACUGGCAGUCUUGAGUACAGUAGAGGUGGGCGGAAUUCGUGGUGUAGCGGUGAAAUGCUUAGAUAUCACGAAGAACUCCGAUUGCGAAGGCAGUUCACUGGACUGCAACUGACACUGAGGCUCGAAAGUGUGGGUAUCAAACAGGAUUAGAUACCCCUGUAGUC